rnacentral:rRNA from 1 species
UACAGAGGUCCCCAAGCGUUGUUCGGAUUCAUUGGGCGUAAAGGGUGCGUAGGCGGCGCGGUAAGUCGGGUGUGAAAUCUCGGAGCUUAACUCCGAAACUGCAUUCGAUACUGCCGUGCUUGAGGACUGGAGAGGAGACUGGAAUUUACGGUGUAGCGGUGAAAUGCGUAGAUAUCGUAAGGAAGACCAGUGGCGAAGGCGGGUCUCUGGACAGUUCCUGACGCUGAGGCACGAAGGUCAGGGGAGCAAACGGG